AUGAUGGGAUUGGACAAUGACAUCUCCAAGACUAUCUUCCUCGAGAACUACAAGUCCCUUGACGACAACUACAUUGGUGCUCUCAAGGAGGAGCAAGAACUCAUGAAGGCCAACUCUACUCGACCCCGAGAUCACUUAGCACCGACCACGCUACAAGACGGCGAGAGUGAUGAUGUGCCAUCUUCGGCCUUCAUCCACGAUGAGAGUGAUGAUGUGCCAUCUUCAGCCUUCAUCCACGGCGACGACUAUGAGAUGGUUGAGCAUGGGACUUUCCCUUCGACCAUGGCGACAUAUGAUGACUUGAGUGACUUGUGCCACCAUAUUGAGAGUGAGAGUGACUUCACCACUAGCCCCAUAUAUGAUGAGUUGCCACAACUCCCAUGUGACGAGAGCCACAACCCCCACCACUUGAGUGAGAUGCGUGACUCCACCAUAUGUGAGUUUGAGUGCACCUAUUUUGAGGGAGUGAGUGAGGCACCACAUAGAGAGAGUGAGGUAGUUGAUGAGGCAUAUGAGGCCAUUUUGCUUUCUAACAACUUAACCUCUCCCUCUAUUGUGUCUUCUCCUUUGGUGCUAGGUCCCAUAUAUGAUGACGCGCCGAUCCUCGACGACUCCGUCCUUCCUUUGGACAUGACAUGGACAUGGUGGACUAUGAUGCACCCCCACAUGGUUCCAUCAAGAUGA
rnacentral:rRNA from 1 species